CGGUUAAAAAGCCCGUAGUUGGAGUUCUGCCAGGUGCCGCCUGUCCGCCCCAGUGGUGAGUACGUGGCGCGCAUUUGGCCCUUUCAAGGGGAGCGUAUCUGCACUUUAUUGUGUGGUGCGGGAUCCUUGACUUUUACUUUGAGGAAAUAGGAGUGUUCCAAGCAGGCUCUCGUCGUGCACAGCUCAGCAUGGAAUAAUAGCACUGGACCUCGAUUCUAAGCUGUUGGUUGCCAGAAGCGAGGUAAUGAUGAAGAGGGAUAGUUGGGGGCAUUCGUAUUUAACUGUCAGAGGUGAAAUUCUUGGAUUUGUUAAAGGCGGACUACUGCGAAAGCAUCUGCCAUGGAUGUUUUCAUUGAUCAAGAACGAAAGUUAGGGGAUC
rnacentral:rRNA from 1 species